AUUGAACGCUGGCGGCAUGCCUUACACAUGCAAGUCGAACGGCAGCACGGGUGCUUGCACCUGGUGGCGAGUGGCGAACGGGUGAGUAAUACAUCGGAACAUGUCCUGUAGUGGGGGAUAGCCCGGCGAAAGCCGGAUUAAUACCGCAUACCAUCUACGGAUGAAAGCGGGGGACCUUCGGGCCUCGCGCUAUAGGGUUGGCCGAUGGCUGAUUAGCUAGUUGGUGGGGUAAAGGCCUACCAAGGCGACGAUCAGUAGCUGGUCUGAGAGGACGACCAGCCACACUGGGACUGAGACACGGCCCAGACUCCUACGGGAGGCAGCAGUGGGGAAUUUUGGACAAAGGGCGAAAGCCUGAUCCAGCAAUGCCGCGUGUGUGAAGAAGGCCUUCGGGUUGUAAAGCACUUUUGUCCGGAAAGAAAUCCUUGGCCCUAAUACGGUCGGGGGAUGACGGUACCGGAAGAAUAAGCACCGGCUAACUACGUG
rnacentral:rRNA from 1 species